rnacentral:rRNA from 1 species
UACAGAGGGGGCAAGCGUUGUUCGGAAUUACUGGGCGUAAAGGGCGCGUAGGCGGCCUGCUAAGUCGAACGUGAAAUCCCUGGGCUCAACCCAGGAACUGCGUCCGAUACUGGUUGGCUUGAAUCCGGGAGAGGGAUGUGGAAUUCCAGGUGUAGCGGUGAAAUGCGUAGAUAUCUGGAGGAACACCGGUGGCGAAGGCGACAUCCUGGACCGGUAUUGACGCUGAGGCGCGAAAGCGUGGGGAGCAAACGGG